rnacentral:rRNA from 1 species
UACGUAGGGUGCGAGCGUUGUCCGGAAUUAUUGGGCGUAAAGAGCUUGUAGGCGGUCUGUCGCGUCUGCUGUGAAAAUCCGGGGCUCAACCCCGGACCUGCAGUGGGUACGGGCAGACUAGAGUGUGGUAGGGGAGACUGGAAUUCCUGGUGUAGCGGUGAAAUGCGCAGAUAUCAGGAGGAACACCGGUGGGCGAAGGCGGGGUUGCCUGGGCUGACACUGA